GGGUUGUGAGGUUAAGCGACUAAGCGUACACGGUGGAUGCCCUGGCAGUCAGAGGCGAUGAAGGACGUGCUAAUCUGCGAUAAGCGUCGGUGAGGUGAUAUGAACCGUUAUAACCGGCGAUUUCCGAAUGGGGAAACCCAGUGUGUUUCGACACACUAUCAUUAACUGAAUCCAUAGGUUAAUGAGGCGAACCGGGGGAACUGAAACAUCUAAGUACCCCGAGGAAAAGAAAUCAACCGAGAUUCCCCCAGUAGCGGCGAGCGAACGGGGAGGAGCCCAGAGCCUGAAUCAGUGUGUGUGUUAGUGGAAGCGUCUGGAAAGGCGCGCGAUACAGGGUGACAGCCCCGUACACAAAAAUGCACAUAUUGUGAGCUCGAUGAGUAGGGCGGGACACGUGGUAUCCUGUCUGAAUAUGGGGGGGACCAUCCUCCAAGGCUAAAUACUCCUGACUGACCGAUAGUGAACCAGUACCGUGAGGGAAAGGCGAAAAGAACCCCGGCGAGGGAGUGAAAAAAAGAACCUGAAACCGUGUACGUACAAGCGGUGGGAGCCUCUUAAUGGGGUGACUGCGUACCUUUUGUAUAAUGGGUCAGCGACUUAUAUUCUGUAGCAAGGUUAACCGAAUAGGGGAGCCGAAGGGAAACCGAGUCUUAACUGGGCGUUAAGUUGCAGGGUAUAGACCCGAAACCCGGUGAUUCAGCCAUGGGCAGGUUGAAGGUUGGGUAACACUAACUGGAGGACCGAACCGACUAAUGUUGAAAAAAUUAGCGGAUGACUUGUGGCUGGGGGGGGGUGAAAGGCCAAUCAAACCGGGAGAUAGCUGGUUCUCCCCGAAAGCUAUUUAGGUAGCGCCUCGUGAAUUCAUCUCCGGGGGGUAGAGCACUGUUUCGGCAAAGGGGGGGGUCAUCCCGACUUACCAACCCGAUGCAAACUGCGAAUACCGGAGAAUGUUAUCACGGGAGACACACGGCGGGUGCUAACGUCCGUCGUGAAGAGGGAAACAACCCAGACCGCCAGCUAAGGUCCCAAAGUCAUGGUUAAGUGGGAAACGAUGUGGGAAGGCCCAGACAGCCAGGAUGUUGGCUUAGAAGCAGCCAUCAUUUAAAGAAAGCGUAAUAGCUCACUGGUCGAGUCGGCCUGCGCGGAAGAUGUAACGGGCUAAACCAUGCACCGAAGCUGCGGCAGCGACGCUUAUGCGUUGUUGGGUAGGGGAGCGUUCUGUAAGCCUGUGAAGGUGUGCUGUGAGGCAUGCUGGAGGUAUCAGAAGUGCGAAUGCUGACAUAAGUAACGAUAAAGCGGGUGAAAAGCCCGCUCGCCGGAAGACCGCUGGUUCCUGUCCAACGUUAAUCGGGGCAGGGUGAGUCGACCCCUAAGGCGAGGCCGAAAGGCGUAGUCGAUGGGAAACAGGUUAAUAUUCCUGUACUUGGUGUUACCGCGAAGGGGACGGAGAAGGCUAUGUUGGCCGGGCGACGGUUGUCCCGGUUUAAGCGUGUAGGCUGGUUUUCGGGCAAAUCCGGAAAACCAAGGCUGAGGCGUGAUGACGAGGCACUACGGUGCUGAAGCAACAAAUGCCCUGCUUCCAGGAAAAGCCUCUAAGCAUCAGGUAACAUCAAAUCGUACCCCAAACCGACACAGGUGGUCAGGUAGAGAAUACCAAGGCGCUUGAGAGAACUCGGGUGAAGGAACUAGGCAAAAUGGUGCCGUAACUUCGGGAGAAGGCACGCUGAUAUGUAGGUGAAGCGACUAGCUCGUGGAGCUGAAAUCAGUCGAAGAUACCAGCUGGCUGCAACUGUUUAUUAAAAAACACAGCACUGUGCAAACACGAAAGUGGACGUAUACGGUGUGACGCCUGCCCGGUGCCGGAAGGUUAAUUGAUGGGGUUAGCGGUAACGCGAAGCUCUUGAUCGAAGCCCCGGUAAACGGCGGCCGUAACUAUAACGGUCCUAAGGUAGCGAAAUUCCUUGUCGGGUAAGUUCCGACCUGCACGAAUGGCGUAAUGAUGGCCAGGCUGUCUCCACCCGAGACUCAGUGAAAUUGAACUCGCUGUGAAGAUGCAGUGUACCCGCGGCAAGACGGAAAGACCCCGUGAACCUUUACUAUAGCUUGACACUGAACAUUGAGCCUUGAUGUGUAGGAUAGGUGGGAGGCUUUUGAAGUGUGGACGCCAGUCUGCAUGGAGCCGACCUUGAAAUACCACCCUUUAAUGUUUGAUGUUCUAACGUGGGCCCCUAAUCGGGGUUGCGGACAGUGUCUGGUGGGUAGUUUGACUGGGGCGGUCUCCUCCUAAAGAGUAACGGAGGAGCACGAAGGUUGGCUAAUCCCCGGUCGGACAUCAGGAGGUUAGUGCAAUGGCAUAAGCCAGUUUGACUGCGAGCGUGACGGCGCGAGCAGGUGCGAAAGCAGGUCAUAGUGAUCCGGUGGUUCUGAAUGGAAGGGCCAUCGCUCAACGGAUAAAAGGUACUCCGGGGAUAACAGGCUGAUACCGCCCAAGAGUUCAUAUCGACGGCGGUGUUUGGCACCUCGAUGUCGGCUCAUCACAUCCCGGGCUGAAGUAGGUCCCAAGGGUAUGGCUGUUCGCCAUUUAAAGUGGUACGCGAGCUGGGUUUAGAACGUCGUGAGACAGUUCGGUCCCUAUCUGCCGUGGGCGCUGGAGAACUGAGGGGGGCUGCUCCUAGUACGAGAGGACCGGAGUGGACGCAUCACUGGUGUUCGGGUUGUCAUGCCAAUGGCACUGCCCGGUAGCUAAAUGCGGAAGAGAUAAGUGCUGAAAGCAUCUAAGCACGAAACUUGCCCCGAGAUGAGUUCUCCCUGAGACUUAGAGUCUCCUGAAGGAACGUUGAAGACGACGACGUUGAUAGGCCGGGUGUGUAAGCGCAGCGAUGCGUUGAGCUAACCGGUACUAAUGAACCGUGAGGCUUAACCUUACAACGCCGAAG
rnacentral:rRNA from 1 species